GACGGAGGAUGCAAGGGUUCUCCGGAAUUAUUGGGCGUAAAGCGUCCGUAGGUGGCGACUUAAGUCUGCUGUUACAGCGUGCAGCUUAACUGCAUAAGGGCAAUGGAAACUGAGGCGCUAGAGUGCGGUAGGGGUAGAGGGAAUUCCCAGUGUAGCGGUGAAAUGCGUAGAUAUUGGGAAGAACACCAGUGGCGAAGGCGCUCUACUGGGCCGUAACUGACACUGAUGGACGAAAGCGAGGGGAGCGAAUGGG
rnacentral:rRNA from 1 species